rnacentral:piRNA from 1 species
UGGAAUAUUCUCCACACGUCUUAAAUGAGU